GACGAACGCUGGCGGCGUGCCUAAUACAUGCAAGUAGAACGCUGAAGCUUGGUGCUUGCACCGAGCGGAUGAGUUGCGAACGGGUGAGUAACGCGUAGGUAACCUGCCUGGUAGCGGGGGAUAACUAUUGGAAACGAUAGCUAAUACCGCAUAAUAGUAGAUGUUGCAUGACAUUUGCUUAAAAGGUGCAAUUGCAUCACUACCAGAUGGACCUGCGUUGUAUUAGCUAGUUGGUGAGGUAACGGCUCACCAAGGCAACGAUACAUAGCCGACCUGAGAGGGUGAUCGGCCCACCUGGGAAUGGGACACGGCCCAGACUCCCAAGGGAAGCAGCAGUAGGGAAUCUUCGGCAAUGGACGGAAGUCUGACCGAGCAACGCCGCGUGAGUGAAGAAGGUUGUCGGAUCGUAAAGCUCUGUUGUAAGAGAAGAACGAGUGUGAGAGUGGAAAGUUCACACUGUGACGGUAUCUUACCAGAAAGGGACGGCUAACUACGUG
rnacentral:rRNA from 1 species